GACGUAGGGCGCGAGCGUUGUCCGGAUUUAUUGGGCGUAAAGAGCUCGUAGGCGGCUUGUCGCGUCGGGAGUGAAAACUUACAGCUUAACUGUGAGCGUGCUUUCGAUACGGGCAGACUUGAGGCAUUCAGGGGAGAACGGAAUUCCUGGUGUAGCGGUGAAAUGCGCAGAUAUCAGGAGGAACACCGGUGGCGAAGGCGGUUCUCUGGGAAUGUCCUGACGCUGAGGAGCGAAAGUGUGGGGAGCGAACAGG
rnacentral:rRNA from 1 species